rnacentral:rRNA from 1 species
GUAGGUGGCAAGCGUUGUCCGGAAUUAUUGGGCGUAAAGCGCGCGCAGGCGGUCCUUUAAGUCUGAUGUGAAAGCCCACGGCUCAACCGUGGAGGGUCAUUGGAAACUGGGGGACUUGAGUACAGAAGAGGAAAGCGGAAUUCCAAGUGUAGCGGUGAAAUGCGUAGAGAUUUGGAGGAACACCAGUGGCGAAGGCGGCUUUCUGGUCUGUAACUGACGCUGAGGCGCGAAAGCGUGGGGAGCAAACAGGAUUAGAUACCCUGGUAGUCCACGCCGUAAACGAUGAGUGCUAAGUGUUAGGGGGUUUCCCGCCCCCUUAGUGCUGCAGCUAACGCAUUAAGCACUCCGCCUGGGGAGUACGGCCGCAAGGCUGA